rnacentral:misc_RNA from 1 species
UCCGGUUUGACACCGGCAGUCUCCCUAGAGUGCCCGGCAUAACCCGCUGGUAACUAGGGACGAGGGUUGCGCUCGUUGCGGGACUUAACCCAACAUCUCACGACACGAGCUGACGACAGCCAUGCAGCACCUGUCUCCGGUCCAGCCGAACUGAAGAGGUUCAUCUCUGGUGCCCGCGACCGGGAUGUCAAAGGUUGGUAAGGUUCUGCGCGUUGCUUCGAAUUGAACCACAUGCUCCACUGCUUGUGCGGGCCCCCGUCAAUUCCUUUGAGUUUCAGUCUUGCGACCGUACUCCCCAGGCGGAAUGCUAAAAGCGUUAGCGACGGCACCCCGGGACUUUAUAACCCGAGACACCAAGCAUUCAUCGUUUAAGGCCAGGACUAC